UGGGGAAUAUUGCACAAUGGGCGAAAGCCUGAUGCAGCGACGCCGCGUGAGGGAUGAAGGCCUUCGGGUUGUAAACCUCUUUCAGCAGGGAAGAAGCGUAAGUGACGGUACCUGCAGAAGAAGCGCCGGCUAACUACGUGCCAGCAGCCGCGGUAAUACGUAGGGCGCAAGCGUUGUCCGGAAUUAUUGGGCGUAAAGAGCUCGUAGGCGGUUUGUCGCGUCUGGUGUGAAAACUCGAGGCUCAACCUCGAGCUUGCAUCGGGUACGGGCAGACUAGAGUGCGGUAGGGGAGACUGGAAUUCCUGGUGUAGCGGUGGAAUGCGCAGAUAUCAGGAGGAACACCGAUGGCGAAGGCAGGUCUCUGGGCCGCAACUGACGCUGAGGAGCGAAAGCAUGGGGAGCGAACA
rnacentral:rRNA from 1 species